UAUUAAAAAUUUUAUCCAUUUCUACUGUUAAAAACUAGUGUGACUAACAUAAUAACUAAACAGUUACACGUGGCGUGCUAGUUGUACCUUAUUUUGGUUUAUAGGGACCAGUUUUUAAUAGUAGAAUUUGACGAUCUUUUUAACA
rfam:Gossypium raimondii Chr10_contig_1442, whole genome shotgun sequence.